CCUACGGGUGGCAGCAGUGAGGAAUAUUGGACAAUGGGGGCAACCCUGAUCCAGCGACGCCGCGUGAGUGAAGACGUCUCUCGGUAUGUAAAGCUCUAUCAGCAGAGAAGAAAAUGACGGUACCUGACUAAGAAUCCCCGGCUAACUACGUGCCAGCAGCCGCGGUAAUACGUAAGCGGCCAGCGUUAUCCGGAUUUACUGGGUGUAAAGGGAGCGUAGACGGUGCAGUAAGUCUGAUGUGAAAGGUUGGGGCCCAACCCCGGGACUGCAAUGGAAACUGUUGAACUGGAGUACAGGAGAGGUAAGCGGAAUUCCUAGUGUAGCGGUGAAAUGCGUAGAUAUUAGGAGGAACACCAGUGGCGAAGGCGGCCUACUAGACUGUAACUGACGUUGAUGCUCGAAAGUGUGGGGAGCAAACAGGAUUAGAUACCCUGGUAGUC
rnacentral:rRNA from 1 species